rnacentral:rRNA from 1 species
AUUGAACGCUGGCGGCAGGCCUAACACAUGCAAGUCGAACGGUAGCACAGAGAGCUUGCUCUCGGGUGACGAGUGGCGGACGGGUGAGUAACGUCUGGGAAACUGCCCGAUGGAGGGGGAUAACUACUGGAAACGGUAGCUAAUACCGCAUAACGUCGCAAGACCAAAGUGGGGGACCUUCGGGCCUCACACCAUCGGAUGUGCCCAGAUGGGAUUAGCUAGUAGGUGGGGUAAUGGCUCACCUAGGCGACGAUCCCUAGCUGGUCUGAGAGGAUGACCAGCCACACUGGAACUGAGACACGGUCCAGACUCCUACGGGAGGCAGCAGCGGGGAAUAUUGCACAAUGGGCGCAAGCCUGAUGCAGCCAUGCCGCGUGUAUGAAGAAGGCCUUCGGGUUGUAAAGUACUUUCAGCGGGGAGGAAGGCGGUGAAGUUAAUAACCUCACCGAUUGACGUUACCCGCAGAAGAAGCACCGGCUAACUCCGUGCCAGCCGCCGCCGUAA